rnacentral:rRNA from 1 species
UUUUCAGGUGUUGGAACCUGGCUCAGGAUGAACGCUGGCGGUCUGCUUAACACAUGCAAGUCGAACGGAAUCCUUCGGGAUUUAGUGGCGGACGGGUGAGUAACACGUGAGAAUCUGCACUCAGGAUGGGGACAACAGCGGGAAACUGCUGCUAAUACCCAAUGUGCCGAAAGGUAAAAGAUUUAUCGCCUGAGAAUGAGCUCGCGGCCGAUUAGUUAGUUGGUGGGGUAAUGGCCUACCAAGACGGCGAUCGGUAGCUGGUCUGAGAGGAUGAGCAGCCACACUGGGACUGAGACACGGCCCAGACUCCUACGGGAGGCAGCAGUGGGGAAUUUUCCGCAAUGGGCGCAAGCCUGACGGAGCAAGACCGCGUGGGGGAGGAAGGCUCUUGGGUUGUAAACCCCUUUUCUCAGGGAAGAAGUUCUGACGGUACCUGAGGAAUCAGCCUCGGCUAACUCCGUGCCAGCAGCCGCGGUAAUACGGAGGAGGCAAGCGUUAUCCGGAAUUAUUGGGCGUAAAGCGUCCGUAGGUGGUGGGGCAAGUCGGCGGUUAAAGACUGGGGCUUAACUCCAGAAAGGCCGUGGAAACUGCACCACUAGAGGGCAGUAGGGGUAGAGGGAAUUCCCGGUGUAGCGGUGAAAUGCGUAGAGAUCGGGAAGAACACCAGUGGCGAAAGCGCUCUACUGGACUGCAACUGACACUCAGGGACGAAAGCUAGGGGAGCGAAUGGGAUUAGAUACCCCAGUAGUCCUAGCCGUAAACGAUGAACUCGGUUGCCCG